rnacentral:rRNA from 1 species
GUGGGGAAUAUUGGGCAAUGGGCGAAAGCCUGACCCAGCAACGCCGCGUGAAGGAAGAAGGUCUUCGGAUCGUAAACUUCUAUCCUUGGUGAAGAUAAUGACGGUAGCCGAGAAGGAAGCCCCGGCUAACUACGUGCCAGCAGCCGCGGUAAUACGUAGGGGGCAAGCGUUGUCCGGAAUGAUUGGGCGUAAAGGGCGCGUAGGCGGCCUGGUAAGUCUGGAGUGAAAGUCCUGGUUUUAAGGUGGGAAUUGCUUUGGAUACUGUCGGGCUUGAGUGCAGGAGAGGUAAGUGGAAUUCCCGGUGUAGCGGUGAAAUGCGUAGAGAUCGGGAGGAACACCAGUGGCGAAGGCGACUUACUGGACUGUAACUGACGCUGAGGCGCGAAAGUGUGGGGAGCAAACAGGAUUAGAAACCCUUGUAGUCC